rnacentral:rRNA from 1 species
AUUGAACGCUGGCGGCAGGCCUAACACAUGCAAGUCGAACGAGUGGCGGACGGGUGAGUAAUGUCUGGGAAACUGCCUGAUGGAGGGGGAUAACUACUGGAAACGGUAGCUAAUACCGCAUACCAUCAGAUGUGCCCAGAUGGGAUUAGCUAGUUGGUGGGUUAACGGCUCACCAAGGCGACGAUCCCUAGCUGGUCUGAGAGGAUGACCAGCCACAAUGGAACUUAGGAACGGUCCCGACGCCUGAGGGAGGCAGCAGUGGGGAAUAUUUGACAAUUGGCGCAAUGCCUAUUCAGCCAUGCCGCGGGUAAUAAGAAGGCCUUCGGGUUGGAAAAUACUUUCAUCGGGGAGGCGUUACCCGCAGGAGAAGGACCGGCUAACUCCGGGCCAGCAGGCGCGGUAAUAC